rnacentral:rRNA from 1 species
UACGGAGGGUGCAAGCGUUGUCCGGAUUUAUUGGGUUUAAAGGGUGCGUAGGCGGCCCGUUAAGUCAGUGGCGAAAGCCUCCAGCUCAACUGGAGAACUGCCAUUGAUACUGGCGGGCUUGAGUACAGACGAGGUAGGCGGAAUUGAUUGUGUAGCGGUGAAAUGCAUAGAUACAAUCAAGAACACCGAUUGCGUAGGCAGCUUACUAGGCUGUAACUGACGCUGAGGCACGAAAGCGUGGGGAGCGAACAGG